UACGGAGGGUGCAAGCGUUAUCCGGAUUCACUGGGCUUAAAGGGUGCGUAGGUGGGUUGGUAAGUCCGUGGUGAAAUCUCCGAGCUUAACUCGGAAACUGCCGUGGAUACUAUCAAGCUUGAAUACUGUGGAGGUAAGCGGAAUAUGUCAUGUAGCGGUGAAAUGCUUAGAUAUGACAUAGAACACCGAUAGCGAAGGCAGCUUGCUACACAGACAUUGACACUGAGGCACGAAAGCGUGGGGAGCAAACAGG
rnacentral:rRNA from 1 species